rnacentral:rRNA from 1 species
CUUGCUUUAUGGAACUUAGUGGCGAACGGGUGAGUAAUACAUAGGCAACCUGCCCAUCGGACUGGGAUAACUGUUGGAAACGACAGCUAAUACCGGAUAGGUAAACGGAAGGCAUCUUCUGUUUAUUAAAGUUUAGAUACACUGAUGGAUGGGCUUAUGGCGCAUUAGCUAGUUGGUGAGGUAACGGCCCACCAAGGCUAUGAUGCGUAGCCGACCUGAGAGGGUGACCGGCCACAUUGGGACUGAGACACGGCCCAAACUCCUACGGGAGGCAGCAGUAAGGAAUUUUCGGCAAUGGGCGCAAGCCUGACCGAGCAACGCCGCGUGAGUGAUGAAGGCCUUAUGGGUUGUAAAACUCUGUUGUAAAGGAAGAACACUAUUGAUAGAAUCAAUAGCUGACGGUACUUUACCAGAAAGCCACGGCUAACUACGUGCCAGCAGCCGCGGUAAUACGUAGGUGGCAAGCGUUAUCCGGAAUUAUUGGGCGUAAAGGGUGCGCAGUCGGCAAAUUAAGUUUGUGGUGAAAGUGCGGAGCUUAACUCCGUAUUGCCAUGAAAACUGGUUGGCUAGAGUGCAGAAGAGGGUAGUGGAAUUCCAUGUGUAGCGGUAAAAUGCGUAGAUAUAUGGAGGAACACCAGUGGCGAAGGCGGCUACCUGGUCUGUAACUGACGAUGAGGCACGAAAGCGUGGGGAGCAAAUAGGAUUAGAUACCCUAGUAGUCCACGCUGUAAACGAUGAAUACUAAGUGUUGGGGAAACUCAGUGCUGCAGCUAACGCAAUAAGUAUUC